rnacentral:rRNA from 1 species
UACGGAGGGUGCAAGCGUUGUUCGGAUUGAUUGGGCGUAAAGCGCUCGUAGGCGGGUUUAUAAGUCGAAUGUGAAAGCCCCGGGCUUAACCUGGGAAUUGCAUCCGAAACUAUAAAUCUUGAAUACUCGAGAGGUUGGUAGAAUUCCUGGUGUAGGAGUGAAAUCCGUAGAUAUCAGGAGGAACACCGGUGGCGAAGGCGGGUCUCUGGGCCGUAACUGACGCUGAGGAGCGAAAGCGUGGGGAGCGAACAGG